rnacentral:rRNA from 1 species
UACGUAGGGACCAAGCGUUGUUCGGAUUUACUGGGCGUAAAGGGCGCGUAGGCGGCGUGGUAAGUCACUUGUGAAAUCUCUGAGCUUAACUCAGAACGGUCAAGUGAUACUGCUGUGCUAGAGUGCGGAAGGGGCAAUCGGAAUUCUUGGUGUAGCGGUGAAAUGCGUAGAUAUCAAGAGGAACACCUGAGGUGAAGACGG